rnacentral:rRNA from 1 species
CACGUAGGGGGCGAGCGUUGUCCGGAUUUAUUGGGCGUAAAGAGUGCGUAGGCGGUUCUUGAAGUCCGCUGUGAAAGCCCCGGGCUUAACCUGGGAAUGGCAGUGGAAACUGGAGGACUUGAAUUGAGCAGAGGGGGGUGGAAUGCCGCGUGUAGCAGUGAAAUGCGUAGAGAUGCGGCGGAACACCGAUGGCGAAGGCAGCCCCCUGGGCUUAAAUUGACGCUGAGGCACGAAAGCGUGGGGAGCAAACAGG